GCUGAGGUAGCAAAGCUAGGCCUACUGCGCCGGCCUUGAAAGCCGGUCCUCCAUCUGGGGGGCGGGAGUUCAAAUCUCCUCCUCAGCG
rnacentral:tRNA from 1 species